rnacentral:rRNA from 1 species
GACGAACGCUGGCGGCGUGCUUAACACAUGCAAGUCGAACGGAAAGGCCCUGCUUUUGUGGGGUGCUCGAGUGGCGAACGGGUGAGUAACACGUGAGUAACCUGCCCUUGACUUUGGGAUAACUUCAGGAAACUGGGGCUAUUACCGGAUAGGAGCUCCUGCUGCAUGGUGGGGGUUGGAAAGUUUCGGCGGUGGGGGAUGGACUCGCGGCUUAUCAGCUUGUUGGUGGGGUAGUGGCUUACCAAGGCUUUGACGGGUAGCCGGCCUGAGAGGGGGACCGGCCACAUUGGGACUGAGAGACGGCCCAGACUCCUACGGGAGGCAGCAGUGGGGAAUAUUGCACAAUGGGCGGAAGCCUGAUGCAGCAACGCCGCGUGCGGGAUGACGGCCUUCGGGGUGUAAACCGCUUUCGCCUGUGACGAAGCGUGAGUGACGGUAAUGGGUAAAGAAGCACCGGCUAACUACGUG